rnacentral:lncRNA from 1 species
AGAAAAAGUAACCAAAAAUAAAAAAUAAAAACAAACCCAGCACAUCUCAUCCUCCCUACCCACCCUAAUUAACCCUCCGUCAUCUCAUUCUCCUAAAUCCCACCCUCAGCCCAUCUCUCUCUCUCUCUCUCUCUCUCUCUCUCUCUCUCUCUCUGUGUACAAAGAACCCAGAUUCAGAUCUAGGUUAGGGGUCGUCGCCCUCUCUCCGUUUCGCACACAGAAGAUAACGCCACACGCAGACCCAAUUUACCAGAACAAAUUCAGAGGAGUCCGCAAGCGGCCAUGGGGUUGUUGGGUGUUGUAGUGGGUAUCGUUGGUGGUGGUGGAUGGGGAUGGGAGAAACGCAGUGGGUAUUUGAUUUUAAAUUUAUGUUAAAAUAUCGACCUGGGUUUGGGGGGUUUGAAGAAAGAAAGAAAUAGAUGCAGUGAGAGAGGAAAAGAUAGGGGUCGAGGAAGAUGAGAUGGGGUUGGGUGGCUUGGGAAAUGAUCUCCACUGUAAUUUUGCUUUGCUUCUGCUCUGCUUCUCAGUGGCAGAGAAAUUAGAGAUCAAAUGAUGAUGGAGGGAUGGGGUGGGUGGGUGGCAAGGAUUGUGGCGGCUGGGGGAGUGAUUGGGUAAUGGGUAGGGUUUUUAAUUAUUAUAAUUUUUUUAAAAUUUUGUUAUUUUUAAUGAUUAUUUAAUUAUAUAUUUAUCUAUAUGGAGGUGGGCUUAACUUGCCAUGUCACCCACUCAAUUGGUGUAAUGAUUCAUAUGUAUGAAAUUACAAAAUCACUCCUGCUACGUCAUCAAAUUUAGAGUUUUGAAUGAAGUUGAUGGCAGGGGGCAAAGUGGGUCACGAAACCUCGAUUAAAAGAUGAAAGUGGGCCACUUUAAUUUUGUGGGGUAAAGUGAGAUUUGACCGAAAUUUCAAUGAGCACUACGGUAAAUAAGCCUAAAUAAAAUGUGGUAUGUCUAGCAUUUUCCCUUAGAAAAAUUGAGUUUGUAGUCAUGAACCUAGCCUCUAUAUUUGAAUUUGAACUUUUGUG